CAAGAGUGGCGAACGGGUGAGUCACACGUGGGUAACCUACCUCUUAGCAGGGGAUAACAUUUGGAAACAAGUGCUAAUACCGUAUAAUACCAACAACCGCAUGGUUGUUGGUUGAAAGAUGGUUCUGCUAUCACUAAGAGAUGGACCCGCGGUGCAUUAGCUAGUUGGUAAGGUAAUGGCUUACCAAGGCAAUGAUGCAUAGCCGAGUUGAGAGACUGAUCGGCCACAAUGGGACUGAGACACGGCCCAUACUCCUACGGGAGGCAGCAGUAGGGAAUCUUCCACAAUGGGCGCAAGCCUGAUGGAGCAACGCCGCGUGUGUGAUGAAGGGUUUCGGCUCGUAAAACACUGUUAUAAGAGAAGAACGGCACUGAGAGUAACUGUUCAGUGUGUGACGGUAUCUUACCAGAAAGGAACGGCUAAAUACGUGCCAGCAGCCGCGGUAAUACGUAUGUUCCAAGCGUUAUCCGGAUUUAUUGGGCGUAAAGCGAGCGCAGACGGUUAUUUAAGUCUGAAGUGAAAGCCCUCAGCUCAACUGAGGAAUUGCUUUGGAAACUGGAUGACUUGAGUGCAGUAGAGGAAAGUGGAACUCCAUGUGUAGCGGUGAAAUGCGUAGAUAUAUGGAAGAACACCAGUGGCGAAGCGGCUUUCUGGACUGUAACUGACGUUGAGCUCGAAAGUGUGGUAGCAACAGAUUAGAUACCCUGGUAGUCACACGUAACGAUGAGUGCUAGAUGUCGAAGGUUUCGGCCCUGGAGUGUCGCAGCUACGCAAUAGCACUCCGCCUG
rnacentral:rRNA from 1 species